rnacentral:rRNA from 1 species
GACGAACGCUGGCGGCGUGCUUAACACAUGCAAGUCGAACGCUGAAGCUCAGCUUUUGUUGGGUGGAUGAGUGGCGAACGGGUGAGUAACACGUGAGUAACCUGCCCCCUUCUUUGGGAUAACGCCCGGAAACGGGUGCUAAUACUGGAUAUUCACUGGUCUUCGCAUGGGGGUUGGUGGAAAGGGUUUUUCUGGUGGGGGAUGGGCUCGCGGCCUAUCAGCUUGUUGGUGGGGUGAUGGCCUACCAAGGCUUUGACGGGUAGCCGGCCUGAGAGGGUGACCGGGAACAUUGGGACUGAGAUGCGGCCCAGGCUACUACGGGGGGCAGCAGUGGGGAAUAUUGCACAAAGGGCGCAAGCCUGAUGCAGCGACGCCGCGUGAGGGAUGGAGGCCGUCGGGUUGUGAACCUCGUUCGCUCAUGGUCAAGCCGCAACAAUGGUUGUGGUGAGGGUAGUGGGUAAAGAAGCGCCGGCUAACUACGUG